AGGGGCUGUGGUUUCAGAGGCUGACGCAGCUGGCUGGCCUCCUGCUCUUGGUCUCCCAGAGGCUCCCUGCCCUCAGCCAUAGAAGUGCCCUGGUCUUUGCCAGAACCAAACAGUGGUCACAGCCAGGACCUGCACCGGGGGUCUUGAAUCCACCUUGCCCAGUGCCCAGAUGCCCCUCCUGCUCUCUGGAUGGAGCCCACCCUCAACAAGCACUCCAGCAGGACCAGGUUCCAUGAAGACAAUGCCACUUGGAAUCUGAUAAGUAAUAUUUGGUACCAAGCCCAGAUCAGCUUUUCAUCACCCUAGACAAGAGAUGUGUUUGGGACUCUUCAGUCUCCCCUGAAGCCCCCAGGCAGGUCUCUGUCAUGCUGGGUGGGAUUAUGGUAACACUCUACCAGCAGCUCCCCACCUGCACCUCAGGCCAGGUUGGAGACGGUGAAAAAGCAACAUAAAAAUGUCAGGUUCCUAUUGGGGAUUAGGAGACAGUCAACUCUAGCCAAGUUUUAUUUUUCCAUUCUAAAGGAAGAAGAAGAAAAAAACACAACCUAAAUUAUCCCAUUUUCCUUAACACACCAUAGAUGCAUGAAUUAGAAGAAAAAAUUUGUUAAACACCCAAACAAAAAGAAACAAUCUGGCCACCAGCCAGGAUUACUUUGCCUGGAAUGUUUUCCAUGACUCUAAGGCCAGCACACACAAGGGUUUCUAAGAUCCAUUUCUGGUGAGAAUAAAAGCUGAAUCUGAAAAACAGAUGCCCCCUGAAAGGAAGAAACAGAAGAAAAUGCAAUCUGUCAACUAGCCACAAUUUAUUCUAUCAACUAUCAAAAAUUUAGUCUGACAUAUUUGCUGAGUAAAAUAACCAUGUUGACUGAUUGUUCUCCUGAAAAAGACAGUUUGAAUUCACCCAACGCCAGCUGAGACUCAAAUAGUCAUUCUCAACUAUUUCCAAAUAUAAAUAUUUUCUGCAAAGAAAACCUUUUAUAAAAUCUCAAUUUGUAAAACUGGCCAGAAACCCAGCUGCUCUGGUUGAAACUGGGGGUGGGUGCUCCAUGUGAUACAUUAAACAUGUUACACCCCCUGAAACCCUCCCCUCAAUCCAGGAGCCUCUCUCUCUCUCUCUCUCUCCCCUUCUCUCUCUGUCACUCAGGCUGGAGUGCAGCGGAGCGAUCACAGCUCACUGCACCUUCAACCUCCAGGGCUCAGGUGAUCCUCCCACCUCAGUCUCCUGAGUAGCUGGGACCACAGGUACACGCCACCAUGUCUGCCUAAUUUUUUGAUUUCUUGUAAAGACAGGGUCUCACUAUGUUGCCCAGGCUGGUCUCCAACUCCUGGAGUUAAGCAAUCCUCCCACCUCAGCUUCCCAAAGUGCUAAGAUUGCAGGUGUGAACCACCACACCGGCCUGAACAAAAGUCACAUAUUUUAAGAAUCUUUGAUGUAGACAGGGGACAGUUCUGCUCAUUUAAAAACAUCUAGAGUUUUGCAUUGUCACAAUAACUCAUGGGGGGUGUCAUUUCUAGAAUUUAGUGUAAGGGUUCAGGGAUGGUAAUGUAUGACACACAAUCCUGUCCAAAUGGCCAUGUAGCCCCCAGGAGAAAAAAACAAAAUAAAACUGGACAGAAGGCUUUAGCUGUCUUUAUGAGGCGGGAGCUAAGGGUCACCCCCAAUGUGGCCCGCUGCAGCCCCAGCCCCCUAUCUCUGUCUUGCAUGGUGCUUGCUUCUCCUCCUCUAGAGCCCAAAUAUACCAAAUGCUUCUUGCUCAGCCUCCUUUGCAUCCAGAAGCAGCUAUGGGACCCAAACCUGACCAAUGCAACGAGAGAGUCAAUAUUCUGAGGUGGGAAGAGUUCAAGGAAAAAUUUUCUUUCGUAAUGCAACAGAGGCACAAGAAGAAACUCUCUUUCCUGCCUUUGAAAAUAAUUGGUUGAGAACAACAGGCUGGAACCGAAGCAGCCUUUCUGUGAGCAUGAGGAGCCAUGCUUAAGGACAAGUCAAUCUGCUAAGGAAGGCAGAGCAGAGAGACAGAUAUGGUUGAGCUGCAUUCUUCAUCCCCUCUGUUACAGGGGACAAUCUAUAUGAUUCUUCAGAUCUGUUAAUCAGGUCUUUGGUUGCUGACAGCCACACGCAUUUUAAUAGAUAUACUUUUCUCACUUCCAUUUAUCUGGAAGCAGAGAGAACAGCUCUGAGGGAAUCUUCUUUGCAGACGCUGACACUUUGAUUCUCACUGUGGUUUUUCUUGUUGACUUAGGGCCGCAUAAAUCUUUCCCUCCUUCUUGGUACUUGAUCUGCCUCUGCCGCAGGCUUGUUAUCUGUUUUCUGUAAGUAAUGCAGGAGCUUCUGGUUAUAAACGACUUGCUAAACUUGAAUUCUUAAGAAUUGUUUAUCUGUUAGACCCACCCUAACCCAAUCAAUACUCAGUGAAAGGAGGUGUCAUCAAUGAUUGACUUUAAGAUAAAGCAGUUCUUCCCCUGCCCCCACCACCAGCGUAGACUUGGGUUUCCCCAGGGAAAAGCAGGCAGGAUGGAAAAAAGCUUGUAGGGCGUCUCCUGCAGGGUUUUUCUUCUGCCUCCCAGCUCCCCCUGUUCUGUCCCCACCCUGAGCUCUGCUGUACCCCAGAGACAUGCCUCCAUCAGCCAGCCAGAAGCCCCGCCGCAGGUGGACAGGUAUGGCUCAAUCAGCCAUCUUGCCUGGAAGAUGCUCAGUUAUAAAAAGGAAAGAAGCAAAACCAAAAAGGAAGGACUCUCCGAUGCUGGAAUUUCAUACUCAGGACAGGCUGGCGGGGAGAUGGGCAGCCUCAGGUCACACUGGCCACUGUGAGAGAGGUCUGGAGUGUUCUGUUGCCCUGAGGUGCAGAGAUGGAGACGGGGCAGAGGCACCAGGUCCCCAGCCAUGCCUCUCUCUGUAGUCAUGAGCUUCUCGCCUCCUGCUGCACAGACCUGUGGUUCCACUUGGAUCCCAGCACAGAGUCGCUCCUGACAUUGGGUCUCCUGGUUCUGGGCAGUUGGAGAAGGUCCAGGUCCCUGUGGGGAAACAGCCGCGCCUGCAGGUCCUCCCGGGAUCUUGACUGAUGCUCAAUAGACAAAUCACCAUGUGAGGAAAUGCUUCAGGGAGGAGGGCGUCUCCACUCCUCAACAAGCCAGCAAGACAAAUCCAAAGGGAUCCAGGAGGACAGAGUGAGCAGGAGCCUGCUGCUAAGGAGAACGAGUUGAGCAUCCUCAUACUUUUGAGGUUAUCUAAGAAGAUUCACAGACUCACGUGGGACAGACAUCACAUCAUUUCAGGGCAAAAGUGAUGCAUUGGUCAUGGGCCAUGCACUUGCUACUUGAUUUUUGUUAUUUUUAUUUUUUAGAGAAGCCUUUUAGACAUACAGACUAACAAAAUGUUAGUUAAUAAGCCCCUGGGCAGUCAUCCCUCCACCAUAAGAAAUCAGACUUCAGAAGUACCUUUGAGGCUUCCUCGGCACUCCUCUACCAUUAGAUCUCCUGCUCUCUCACCAAGAAGUAGCCAUCUUCUAACUUCAUUUUCUUGUCUUGCUCAGCCACAGCAGGAGAUGCUCUCUAAGAACCGCCCUGAGAGGGAAAAAGAGGAGCAGAAGGAUCAAGAGACACUCAUCAGGAACUGCUGACAUUUGAGCCUCUGGAUCCGGCUGUGCCUGAAACUAAUGAGCUACUCCUUCCACAUUCUAGUUAUCUGUGAAUGUUGAUGGACACCAGGCCUGCUUAUGCACAAGAGCUUCUGACCUGGGAUCAGAGCAGGAAACGGAAUUUUAAAGAAAUGUCUCAAGAGUCAUAGAAGGCAGGAGCCAAGAAGUGAUCACUACUGACCUCAAGCUCAAAGAUCUAUGGGAAGUAUUCAACAGGAUGAGUGGUGAAUCCCUGGGUCCUUGGUCAAAGGUCCUGAGGUCCUGAGGUCCUGAGGUCAAAUCAGAAGAGAAAAUGCUAAUUUGUCCAUGUGAGAAAUUUAUUCCAAAAAGGCAGAUACAAAAAUUUGACUUGACAAAGCAUGGUGGGUUUUGUAAAAAAAAAAAAAAUAAA